rnacentral:rRNA from 1 species
UACGUAGGGUCCGAGCGUUGUCCGGAAUUAUUGGGCGUAAAGAGCUCGUAGGCGGUCUGUCGCGUCGGCUGUGAAAACCUGGGGCUCAACUCCAGGCCUGCAGUCGAUACGGGCAGACUAGAGUUCGGUAGGGGAGACGUGGAAUUCCUGGUGUAGCGGUGAAAAUGCGCAGAUAUCAGGAGGAACACCGGUGGCGAAGGCGGGUCUCUGGGCAGUAACUGACGCUGAGGAGCGAAAGCGUGGGGAGCAAACAGG